UCUAAUAUGGCAGAUUAGUGCAUUGGACUUAAACCCCAAUUAUAAAGAUUCAUCUUUUUUUAGAA
rnacentral:tRNA from 1 species